UACGGGGGAUCCGAGCGUUAUCCGGAAUUAUUGGGCGUAAAGCGCGCGCAGGCGGUUCCUUAAGUCUGAUGUGAAAGCCCACGGCUCAAACGUGGAGGGGCAUUGGAAACUGGGGGACUUGAGUGCAGAAGAGGAGAGCGGAAUUCCACGUGUAGCGGUGAAAUGCGUAGAGAUGUGGAGGAACACCAGUGGCGAAGGCGGCUCUCUGGUCUGUAACUGACGCUGAGGCGCGAAAGCGUGGGGAGCAAACAGG
rnacentral:rRNA from 1 species